rnacentral:rRNA from 1 species
GCUAAGGUGGGGGGAGCUGCGGAGGGAAGAGGAGGGGGGGGCGGGUUGAGGCGAAUGACGUGGAGUAAAGGGGGCGUGGGCGGGGGUCGAAGUGAGGCGGGAAAUUGGUGGGGUGAACCGGAGGGGUGCGCUGGGUACUGAGGUGCGUGAGGAUGGAAGAGGCGCGUGGAAUUCGCAGGGUAGAGGUGAAAUUCGUAGAGAUGGGGAAGAAGACCGGUGGCGAAGGCGGCGAGCUGGUCCAUUACUGACGCUGAGGCGCGACAGCGUGGGGAGCAAACAGGAUUAGAUACCCUAGUAGUC